UACGUAGGGUGCGAGCGUUAAUCGGAAUUACUGGGCGUAAAGCGUGCGCAGGCGGUUUUGUAAGCCAGAUGUGAAAUCCCCGGGCUCAACUCGGGAGCUGCAUUUAAGACUGCUAGACUAGAAUAUGGUAGGGGGUAAUGGAAUUCUUAGUGUAGGGGUAAAAUCCGUAGAUAUUGGGAAGAACACCGGUGGCGAAGGCGGCUCACUGGCUCAUUACUGACGCUCAGGCGCGAUAGCGCGGGGAUCAAACAGG
rnacentral:rRNA from 1 species